rnacentral:rRNA from 1 species
GACGUAGGGCGCGAGCGUUGUCCGGAUUUAUUGGGCGUAAAGAGCUCGUAGGCGGCUUGUUGCGUCGGCUGUGAAAACCCAUGGCUCAACCGUGGGCUUGCAGCCGAUACGGGCAGGCUAGAGUUCGGUAGGGGAGACUGGAAUUCCUGGUGUAGCGGUGAAAUGCGCAGAUAUCGGGAGGAACACCUGUGGCGAAAGCGGCUCACUGGACCAUUACUGACGCUGAUGCUCGAAAGCUAGGGGAGCAAACAGG